UCGCUUCAGCAGCACAUAUACUAAAAUUGGAAUGAUACAGAGAAGAUUAGCAUGACCCCUGCGCAACUGUUAAUUCUUAUCAUGAUUUUAGUAGCAUCAGUAUCUU